GGUUCCAUCGUGUAGUGGUUAGCACGUCUGCUUUACACACAGAAGGUCCUGGGUUUGCACCCCAGUGGAACCA
rfam:Pteropus alecto contig89142, whole genome shotgun sequence.